GCAGACACUGCUAUCCUUAGGCCAGACACUAGCGCUGGAAUGACUCAGCUUUUGCCAUGGGAAACCUAACCACAGAGAAGCUGCAGAGGAAGAGGGAGAGACAAGAGUGAAAGGCACAGGAAUGUGGUUUACCUCCACAGGCGGGUGAGGUAGAUGGCAGCGCUGGAAUAGCACUGCUGAAUCCCAUUCAUCUACUCUCAUGCUGCCACUGCCACGGCCACAGCUGAUGCCAUCCCUUGGAGCCAUCUGAAUCCAACUUCUCCAACAUGGACUCAAGAUCAGUGGUUCUCAGGAAUCCUCCAGGCUUUCAAGUUGGGACUGAAGUAUCCAGCAUCAUGGCUGGAGAAGUUCACAGUUCCUGUUACCUCCAGUGUGAAAACAGCCAUUGUUGGUCUACCCAGCCCACAUAGUGUAGGAUGAUCUAAUAAAUACAUAAUAUAAGUUUAUUAUAU